GGCAGUCAGAGGCGAUGAAGGACGUGCUAAUCUGCGAUAAGCGUCGGUAAGGUGAUAUGAACCGUUAUAACCGGCGAUUUCCGAAUGGGGAAACCCAGUGUGUUUCGACACACUAUCAUUAACUGAAUCCAUAGGUUAAUGAGGCGAACCGGGGGAACUGAAACAUCUAAGUACCCCGAGGAAAAGAAAUCAACCGAGAUUCCCCCAGUAGCGGCGAGCGAACGGGGAGCAGCCCAGAGCCUGAAUCAGUGUGUGUGUUAGUGGAAGCGUCUGGAAAGGCGCGCGAUACAGGGUGACAGCCCCGUACACAAAAAUGCACAUGCUGUGAGCUCGAUGAGUAGGGCGGGACACGUGGUAUCCUGUCUGAAUAUGGGGGGACCAUCCUCCAAGGCUAAAUACUCCUGACUGACCGAUAGUGAACCAGUACCGUGAGGGAAAGGCGAAAAGAACCCCGGCGAGGGGAGUGAAAAAGAACCUGAAACCGUGUACGUACAAGCAGUGGGAGCACGCUUAGGCGUGUGACUGCGUACCUUUUGUAUAAUGGGUCAGCGACUUAUAUUCUGUAGCAAGGUUAACCGAAUAGGGGAGCCGAAGGGAAACCGAGUCUUAACUGGGCGUUAAGUUGCAGGGUAUAGACCCGAAACCCGGUGAUCUAGCCAUGGGCAGGUUGAAGGUUGGGUAACACUAACUGGAGGACCGAACCGACUAAUGUUGAAAAAUUAGCGGAUGACUUGUGGCUGGGGGUGAAAGGCCAAUCAAACCGGGAGAUAGCUGGUUCUCCCCGAAAGCUAUUUAGGUAGCGCCUCGUGAAUUCAUCUCCGGGGGUAGAGCACUGUUUCGGCAAGGGGGUCAUCCCGACUUACCAACCCGAUGCAAACUGCGAAUACCGGAGAAUGUUAUCACGGGAGACACACGGCGGGUGCUAACGUCCGUCGUGAAGAGGGAAACAACCCAGACCGCCAGCUAAGGUCCCAAAGUCAUGGUUAAGUGGGAAACGAUGUGGGAAGGCCCAGACAGCCAGGAUGUUGGCUUAGAAGCAGCCAUCAUUUAAAGAAAGCGUAAUAGCUCACUGGUCGAGUCGGCCUGCGCGGAAGAUGUAACGGGGCUAAACCAUGCACCGAAGCUGCGGCAGCGACACUAUGUGUUGUUGGGUAGGGGAGCGUUCUGUAAGCCUGUGAAGGUGUGCUGUGAGGCAUGCUGGAGGUAUCAGAAGUGCGAAUGCUGACAUAAGUAACGAUAAAGCGGGUGAAAAGCCCGCUCGCCGGAAGACCAAGGGUUCCUGUCCAACGUUAAUCGGGGCAGGGUGAGUCGACCCCUAAGGCGAGGCCGAAAGGCGUAGUCGAUGGGAAACAGGUUAAUAUUCCUGUACUUGGUGUUACUGCGAAGGGGGGACGGAGAAGGCUAUGUUGGCCGGGCGACGGUUGUCCCGGUUUAAGCGUGUAGGCUGGUUUUCCAGGCAAAUCCGGAAAAUCAAGGCUGAGGCGUGAUGACGAGGCACUACGGUGCUGAAGCAACAAAUGCCCUGCUUCCAGGAAAAGCCUCUAAGCAUCAGGUAACAUCAAAUCGUACCCCAAACCGACACAGGUGGUCAGGUAGAGAAUACCAAGGCGCUUGAGAGAACUCGGGUGAAGGAACUAGGCAAAAUGGUGCCGUAACUUCGGGAGAAGGCACGCUGAUAUGUAGGUGAAGUCCCUCGCGGAUGGAGCUGAAAUCAGUCGAAGAUACCAGCUGGCUGCAACUGUUUAUUAAAAACACAGCACUGUGCAAACACGAAAGUGGACGUAUACGGUGUGACGCCUGCCCGGUGCCGGAAGGUUAAUUGAUGGGGUUAGCCGCAAGGCGAAGCUCUUGAUCGAAGCCCCGGUAAACGGCGGCCGUAACUAUAACGGUCCUAAGGUAGCGAAAUUCCUUGUCGGGUAAGUUCCGACCUGCACGAAUGGCGUAAUGAUGGCCAGGCUGUCUCCACCCGAGACUCAGUGAAAUUGAACUCGCUGUGAAGAUGCAGUGUACCCGCGGCAAGACGGAAAGACCCCGUGAACCUUUACUAUAGCUUGACACUGAACAUUGAGCCUUGAUGUGUAGGAUAGGUGGGAGGCUUUGAAGUGUGGACGCCAGUCUGCAUGGAGCCGACCUUGAAAUACCACCCUUUAAUGUUUGAUGUUCUAACGUUGACCCGUAAUCCGGGUUGCGGACAGUGUCUGGUGGGUAGUUUGACUGGGGCGGUCUCCUCCUAAAGAGUAACGGAGGAGCACGAAGGUUGGCUAAUCCUGGUCGGACAUCAGGAGGUUAGUGCAAUGGCAUAAGCCAGCUUGACUGCGAGCGUGACGGCGCGAGCAGGUGCGAAAGCAGGUCAUAGUGAUCCGGUGGUUCUGAAUGGAAGGGCCAUCGCUCAACGGAUAAAAGGUACUCCGGGGAUAACAGGCUGAUACCGCCCAAGAGUUCAUAUCGACGGCGGUGUUUGGCACCUCGAUGUCGGCUCAUCACAUCCUGGGGCUGAAGUAGGUCCCAAGGGUAUGGCUGUUCGCCAUUUAAAGUGGUACGCGAGCUGGGUUUAGAACGUCGUGAGACAGUUCGGUCCCUAUCUGCCGUGGGCGCUGGAGAACUGAGGGGGGCUGCUCCUAGUACGAGAGGACCGGAGUGGACGCAUCACUGGUGUUCGGGUUGUCAUGCCAAUGGCACUGCCCGGUAGCUAAAUGCGGAAGAGAUAAGUGCUGAAAGCAUCUAAGCACGAAACUUGCCCCGAGAUGAGUUCUCCCUGAC
rnacentral:rRNA from 1 species